rnacentral:rRNA from 1 species
UACGGGGGGAGCAAGCGUUGUUCGGAUUUACUGGGCGUAAAGGGCGCGUAGGCGGCCUCUGCAAGUCGACUGUGAAAUCUCCGGGCUUAACCCGGAAAGGUCAGCCGAUACUGCAGGGCUAGAGUGCAGAAGGGGCAACUGGAAUUCUCGGUGUAGCGGUGAAAUGCGUAGAUAUCGAGAGGAACACCUGCGGCGAAGGCGGGUUGCUGGGCUGACACUGAUGCACGAAGGUCAGGGGAGCAAACGGG